rnacentral:rRNA from 1 species
AUUGAACGCUGGCGGCAUGCCUUACACAUGCAAGUCGAACGGUAACAGGUCUUCGGAUGCUGACGAGUGGCGAACGGGUGAGUAAUACAUCGGAACGUGCCUAGUAGUGGGGGAUUACUACUCGAAAGAGCGGCUAAUACCGCAUGAGAUCUACGGAUGAAAGCAGGGGAUCGCAAGACCUUGUGCUACUAGAGCGGGCGAUGGCAGAUUAGGUAGUUGGUGGGAUAAAAGCUUACCAAGCCGACGAUCUGUAGCUGGUGUGAGAGGACGAACAGACACACUGGAACGGAGACACGGCCCAGACUCCUACGGGAGGCAGCAGUGGGGAAUUUUGGACAAUGGGCGCAAGCCUGAUUCAGCAAUGCCGCGUGCAUGAUGAAGGCCUUCGGGUUGUAAACUGCUUUCGUACGGAACGAAAAGCCCUGGGUUAAUACCCUGGGGUCAUGACGGUACCGUAAGAAUAAGCACCGGCUAACUACGUGCCAGCCGCCGCAGUAACAC